UUGACAGUCCAAACGCUACCUUCCUCGGGGUGAAACCCAGAGGGUCUGAUGACGUAGUAAGUGGGACAU
ncrna:unclassified sequences RAGATH-24 RNA